GAGAAAAUGGCUGAGUGGCUUAAAGCGAUAAUUUGCUAAAUUAUUGUACUUAAAUUGUGAAAUCAUUAAAAGUACCAUGGGUUCGAACCCCAUUUUUCUUG
rnacentral:tRNA from 1 species